GACGAACGCUGGCGGCGUGCUUAACACAUGCAAGUCGAACGGAAAGGCCCUGCUUUUGUGGGGUGCUCGAGUGGCGAACGGGUGAGUAACACGUGAGUAACCUGCCCUUGACCUUGGGAUAACUUCAGGAAACUGGGGCUAAUACCGGAUAGGAGCUCCUGCUGCAUGGUGGGGGUUGGAAAGUUUCGGCGGUUGGGGAUGGACUCGCGGCUUAUCAGCUUGUUGGUGGGGUAGUGGCUUACCAAGGCUUUGACGGGUAGCCGGCCUGAGAGGGUGACCGGCCACAAUGGGACUGAGAUACGGCCCAGACUCCUACGGGAGGCAGCAGUGGGGAAUAUUGCACAAUGGGCGGAAGCCUGAUGCAGCAACGCCGCGUGCGGGAUGACGGACUUCGGGUUGUAAACCGCUUUCGCCUGUGACGAAGCGUGAGUGACGGUAAUGGGUAAAGAAGCACCGGCUAACUACGUG
rnacentral:rRNA from 1 species